GCGUCGUGCGUAAGAACAGCCCUUAGCCGUGGUAUAUUUAUUGGCCAUGUACCACACCUCCUCGGGCCUUAUUGCUUAAAUAUAUUUCUUAAUGGGAACCUGUACAUUAAAGCGUGGCUUGCUGCUUUUGUGUUUCGUUCUCGCGUCCUAAUUUUGGAUAUUUCAUUAAAUUCCAUGUAUUAUUUGGGCCAGAGAGAAAGAGGCGAAGUUUUUGCAUGGGAAUGUAAAAUACACAUCCGAGAAUGUCUCUGUCACAGAUGAAAGGGGUGUUGAUGCAGUGGCUCUUGCAGUGUUCAAAACAACGGAAACACGUAAAUCUCCGACUUCAGUGCGUUCAAGACAACUGUGAACUCGGGGAAAAAUGCGCUCCGACAGGAUUUUGUUUUUGUUUUGAAUGGUUAUCCAACUCGAAAUUCCAAGCCGGAAACUCGGCCAUCUUUCUAGAGCUCCGACUUUCCGACCUAUAGAUCACUGAUGUCAUGACUGACCUCGUUUUUUCCAAGUUCCCGUUUGUCUUCGAAGCACCAUAAGGUCCUGUCCAGUGGUGUAAAGUACUUAAGUAAAGAUACUUUAAAGUACUACUUAAGUAUUUUGGGGCGGGGGGGAUCUGUAAUUUAUUAUUUAUAUUUUUGACAACUUUCUUUACUUCAUUACAUUCCUAUUUCAAUUUGAAAUAAUGUAUUAUUAUUUUAAACCAAAUACUUUUAGACUUAAUAAAGUGGUAUUUUAAUGGGUAACUUUCACUUUUACUUGAGUUAUUUUCUAUUACGGUAUCUUUACUUUUACUCAAGAAAAUGAAAAUAAAACAGAAGAAGCAAACAAGGAUAAAACAUAUUUGAAAGCGGAACUAAGAUAUUAUCCUUAUUCUGACACUACAUUUGAGUCAGGCAGACCAACCGGAAGCGUUUUUCUCAGAACCUCUUGUGUACAUAUGCAACAACUAGCUACAGCAAAAUCUAAAAUAAUUUCGAGAUUUAUGACGUGAUGACUUCAGUUUAAAAUUAGAGCAAUGAAUCCUGUCAUUCUCAAGGGCAUCGGUAUCAGAUAAACAUCCGAUUCAGGCUAUGCAUUGCCCACUAAGAGCACAGAAGUCAUGGUCAUGCCGGAGCAAGGGACCGACCAAGAUGUAUGUAGACCCCAUCCUCAAGACCCAUGAGCGAAUUGUUCAGCACACAGAGGAAGAUUACCAAGCCCGUUUCAAGGCACAUCCAGAGCUAGAGGGACUGAUGGCACAGAUGACCUAGUGAGAGCAAAGACUGUUCACCCCACCCUUUUACGUCAACUGUCAUCAUACUUCUUCUGACAUCUACUGUUUCAUCUUUUUUUCAUCACGUUUUUUUUUAUAUAAAUUAAUUUUGGAUGAAUGUAGGACAUAUACUUUGCUGUUGUAGCUUCAAAUAAAAUAUUUAAU